rnacentral:lncRNA from 1 species
AUGGCGGCUUUAAGGUUCUGAUAGGUUAUUGUAAGUUAAUAUUUGUUUUAAAAUGUUUAAAUCUUCAAUUUGCGGCUAAAAUCCCAUUUGCGUACCUCUGUAGUCCAAAUAUUUGUUUCUGCAACUUCUCUUGUUUCUCCAGAGUGUUCUUUAGGAAAUAUUCAAGAAAAACCAGUUUGCCAUGGUAUGACCUUUGCGUACCUCUCAGGAGAAUAGACCACAUUCUAUUGCUAUGAAACUACAAUAAAGAGACUCUUUACAUGUUUUUACAUUGUUUAAAGUUGUUUUUGAAAUUUCCUUGUUGCUGGUUUUUUAGUUAUAACAAUUUACAUUCAGCCA